rnacentral:rRNA from 1 species
UACGUAGGGGGCAAGCGUUGUCCGGAAUCAUUGGGCGUAAAGCGAGCGUAGGCGGCCCGAUAAGUCUGCUGUAAAAAGUCAACGGCUCAACCGUUGAAAGCCGGUGGAUACUGUCGGGCUAGAGUUCGGAAGAGGCAAGUGGAAUUCCUGGUGUAGCGGUGGAAUGCGCAGAUAUCAGGAGGAACACCUAUAGCGAAGGCAGCUUGCUGGGACGAUACUGACGCUAAGGCUCGAAAAGCGUGGGGGAGCGAACAGG